GUGCUGGCUUCAGCACCACNUAUACUAAAACUGGAAUGAUACAGAGAAGAUUAGCAUGGCCCCUGCGCAAGGAUGACCUCCAAAUUCAUGAAUGGUUCCAUAUUUUU
rnacentral:snRNA from 1 species